AUUCAUUUAAAGACAUUAAGUGGGGAAAAGGAGUAUUUUAAAAUACAAACUUGGUAACCAGUGGAGUAACUACGCCUCUCUUAAGGGAGACAAAUGCCUCGUCAUCUAAUUAAUGACACACAUGAAUGGAU
rnacentral:ncRNA from 1 species